GCCAGCAGCCAUAUCACCCUGCAACUCACAAUUGGCAACCCACUGAAGCUAAGCAGGUUUGAGCCUGGUCAGUACCUAGAUGGGAGACCUAGAUGGGAAGCUAUGGUUGCUGCUGGAA
ensembl:rRNA 5S_rRNA 5S ribosomal RNA